GUAAUAGGUACAAAUAGCCAGGGCCGGCUCCAGGCACCAGGCACCCAAGCACAUGCUUGGGGCGGCACCUGGUCACAAAGUCAGCAAUCUGACUUCACUCCACAAUCGAGCAAUGGAAAAGAUCUUUUGGGAGAAAGCCAUUAUUUCACCAAUAAAUUCCUUUGAUCGUUGAUAAAAUAGCACAGAAAGACUAGGAAAAAUGCAUUAAAAAGAGUAGUGCCAUAGACGAGGAGUGAAGAAGUGGUUUGGUGAGGUACCAUGAGAUUACUCACAUAAGUAAAGUCAAACACAUACAAGUGUUUGCAGGAUCAGGAACUUUGAGGGUCCUUUCAACAAGCAAGAGGGAGCCAAGCUGAGGUACUCCUAUAAACAUGUUUGGGCCUGCUCCUCUCAGCAAACUUCUGCCAGCCUCAGCAGCAGCUACACUGCGGUAAAGCCUCCUAACCUCCCAACUCCUGUCUGAGACUUUCAGAGGAAUCUUAUGGAAUGCAGAGCUCCCCCUGGGCUCCCUUUGGGUCAUCUGAGAAGGGAUCCCAGGUGUCUGUUGCUCCCUGGCUUGAUGCACUUGGGGAGUGAAGAAGGGAGCUCCCAUUUUUACCCCAAACACUUGGCUCCCAUUGCUGUCAGUCUCGCACUGAGGGGCAAAGAAGUGGUUUGAUGGAGCAAUAGACCACUCUCUCGUCUCCUGUCAUGCCCCAAUUUCAUGCAGAGGCCAAAAAGAACAAAUAAUUUCUGCCCCCAACCUCAGAAACAGCAGCAACUCUGCUGCCAGCAUUAAUGGUAAAAAUACAUAGGCUGCCAGGCCUAAAGGAGUGCAACUAACAAUCAACAAAACAGCGAAACCAACAAGACAUAAACUGCUAUCAAAGUCACCAAGGAAACAAAUGGAAAAAGAGAAAAAAAAUGCCUUUUCUCAUGCACUCCUUUCUGUCACGGUGAUAGUCAUAACAAAAGGUCAGACAUUUUUAGACAUAAAUGCUGUUCACAUGUAAAAGUGCCCUUUGACACUACUACAAAACAGGAAGGAAAUGAUCAGUACCGUAAAGUGAAAUAUUCCGAGUAGCUCAUAUUAAUUGAGCUAGGCAACUAGUGGAGACCAAACAUUAAGAAGUAUGUCUGAUCUAUUGCGUUUGCUGGAAUAGAAUCUUUCAAAUGUAUACAUAAUGCCAAAAGCAUAAAUCCAGUGACCAACAUGUAAAUGUGUGUCAAAGGGUGCAUUUAUAUUCUUUUAGUAGAAAUAUAUUUUAUAACUCAAAUGCCCAUACCCUAUACAUAUGGAAAUUAAUGUCAAUUUCAGAGUGGUCCACUUUUUACUAAUUUUUUUAAGUUGACUGCUGGAGGCACAAGGAAACCAAAUGAUUUCUCCAGUGUGAGCUAGUCAAAAUGUUUCUAAGUUUUUAAAUUUUCUGAUAAAAAGGAAACAUUUUGUUGCAAAAAUCCCCCCACCCCAUCCUAAUUUUUAACCAGUUGCACUUAGAGAAUGAUUCAGCUGGAAUUUAAAUUAAAAUCCUUAUGGGUCCACGUGCUUUACUGUAACCACUAGAUCAUAUUGUCUCCUAUUUUUUUUUAAAGAACAUUUUCACUAAGUCCAGGUGAACUUUCAUGUAUUUGCUAUCUCCCAUCUUCAGUAUUUGCAAUAAAAUGGGAUUGUCUUUGGGAGUUUGUAAAUCAUAAACUUAUUUCUUACACCAAAUUUAGCAUUUAAAAAAAAAUAGGAUCUCUCACUAAUCCCAAUUUUUUUUCUUGAUCUAAAAAUUUGUUAAAAUGAUUAGACACCCUAUUUCAGCAAACCACAACAGAUUUUUCAGGACCUAUCCCACUAUGGCACCAAAUGACUUCAAUAAGAUUACUCAAUUGUUUAAGAAUCUGGCUAGAUCAAAGCAUAGGAUAAAGAUCCUUUACCAGUGUUUUGAAAGACAUGGGCAUGUCUACACUAUGGGUGCUACAGUGGUGCACUGAAGCUAUACUGCUGUAGCAUCAUAACAUAGACGCUUCCGACAUCGACAGAAGGGGUUUUUCCAUUGACGAAGGUAAUCCACCUCCCUGGGUCAAUGGAAGAAUUCCACGCCUACACUAGGGAUUAGAUUGGUUUAACUACAGCAGUCAAGGAUGUGAGUUUUUCACAUCCCUGAGCAACUCAGCUAGCUCAAUCUAAAUUUUAAGCAUAGACUGUGACCAUGGUGUCUGGAGGGGCCUCACUGAGAUUGCUCAGUCAGGGCAAACUGCAAAGAAUGGGGCAGACAAUCACCAAAACUGGUGGUUAUUCCAAUAAUUAGAUUCACCAAGCCAGCAACCAAACAGCUUCUACAAUACUGUACUAGUUAUCAAGAAGCUAAAAUAUAGCUCCCCUAAACAAUCCAGCCCUGGGCUCCCAUCCAGACAGCCAAGUCAAAUAUGGUGAGGAUUAUUUAAAAUCUUAUUCGCAGUAUAUAAAAUUCUAUCAAUACCAAGAGAUUGGACACAUUACCCACCAGGUCAAUAAAUAUUUCAGACAGGCAACUAUAAUUAGUAUUUACUUAUAAUUCUCUACAAUACAGGUUUGCAUUUUAAACACUCUGGCCUAUCUAUCAUGGCCUUGAUAACUAUCUAUAAGAAAUGGCCUUGUUCACCAUUUCAAUUCUUCUCUAAUAUUUUUUUUUAGGGUUGAUCUUGGGUUACUUAGCCUGCUGGUUGCUUAACCCUUUCUGGCUCAGUGUCACAACCAGCAUUAAGCAUUCAUCUGGUUGCUUUCCCAAAUUCCUCCCCACAUUUCAAAUGAUGGGCCCAGACAAGCAAUUCUUACAUCUCCCACAGCAACUGAAACCUCUGCCAGUGCUUCUUGUUCUGUUAUGAAUUAUGAUGCCAGGAACUAUGCCUCCAUAAAGGCCAAAUUAGAACAAUUCAUCAAGAUGUUACUGGACAGGCAUUACAUCAGCUAAGCUUUCAGGUGGAGAUGGAAGGGCAGCCAGACAAUGCAAGUUCUAAGUUUGAUACAUUUUGAUCUCUAUCUAUCAGCACUAAGAAUUUUUGUAUUAAUCUUAUGUAAUGCUGAAUAUCCCCAGCUCCCAUUGAAGUCAACAGUCGAGAGACAGAGGUCCGUACAUAAACUUAUCUUCUCUCCUGCUUUGGUGGAACUGCUUUUCCUACCUUGUACAAAAAAAAAGGGGGGGUGGGGUGGGGGGAGAGAAUAAAUGUAACCACUUGGUUUAUAAAAGACUGUCCAUUCCAGAGCUGACAGGAAAUAUGUUUCCAAUGUCCAAAGGGAAGAGUGUACAAAAGAAACUGGAACAAACAAAGGCAUUCCAACAAAGGGGAGUAUGUUCACUAGUCCUGAAAAUAUAACCCCCCCUUUCCACACUUUGGGGUUCAUAUUAAAGAGCAUUAAUAUAGCCCUCUGUAAUACACCCCAGUUAAUCAAACAGAAGACACUAAGCAGUACCUCAAAAAUCAAAAAGCUCUUUUUUUUUCAUUACUUCUUUUCAAACAUUGCAUAACCUGCAGUGGCAUUUAAAACUAAAACAGACCUUCCUUUGGCUGAAUUAAUUUGGCUGACCUGUGCAGCAGAAUGAGUCAUGAGAAGAACGCAACGUGCUAUCUAACCCUAAUAGCAAAUGCAAAGGGAAUAUUGCUCAAAUUCUGCAUCUCUUUACCUGCCUCAAUGGAACCCAGCAAGAAGAAAUAUUUACCUCAUAUGGAUCGUAUAGUUGAAUUAUAAUAUUUUAGGGCCAUGAACUCGCAUUGUCUUUCUUUGUCUUAGGUUUUCCAAAGAAGCCUAUCUCUUUGGUAUCUAAGUGCUAAGAAUACAAGUAAAUUGUACAUGACACACCAGAAUUCGUAACCCGGUGUUGCCAACUCUCACAAUUUUAUCACAAGUCCUGUGAUAUUUGAUGUUUUACUUGAGGUCCCAGCUUCUGGAAACAACUGGCUAUGUAAAAAGUUCAAUUUUCAUUGUUUUAAAAAGUACCUUUCUAGCCCUUCUGGUUGCAGAGAAAAGCUUGAAAACAUGAUAUAAGUGAAUCUUAAAGCAGGGUUGACUGAUCUAAAUUUAAGUGAUUUAAAUUACUGAUUUUAAUCAUGAUUUAAAUCAGCAAGCAGGAAAUCUUGAUUUAAAUCACCAUUUUUAAUUUUGAUUGCAUUUGUACUUGAGUUAUUUUCCUAAAGAAAGGUUGAUUCUCAUUAGGUGGUUACAAUCAAAACAUGUUGAUUUACAACUAGAUAUACAAUGAUUCAGUGCUUCUUUCUGCUAAUCAGGAAGCUAAACUAUACCUAUAUACAUUUAUUUAAGUAAUUAUACAGCUUAACUUACAUUUAUUCAGAUUCUUAAUUUUUACAUUUUUAUUUAUGUUAGAAUAUAGUGAAUGAUGAAUUUCUUAUUUACUAGAUAGUGAUUAAUUUUAUAUGUAUGAUUUGUGUCAAGCUCCAUUUGGAUGGAAAUUAAAAUUCAAUUUUAGAUGCAAAAAACAGCAUUUCAAAAAAAUAAUUAGUUAAAUAAAACUAAU